UACAGAGACUGCAAGCGUUAUUCGGAUUCACUGGGCGUAAAGGGUGCGCAGGCGGUUUUGUGUGUCAGGUGUGAAAGCCCGGAGCUUAACUCCGGAAUUGCGCCUGAAACUACAGAACUAGAGCAUUGGAGAGGGUAGCGGAAUUCACGGUGUAGCAGUGAAAUGCGUAGAUAUCGUGAGGAACACCAGAGGCGAAGGCGGCUACCUGGACAAUUGCUGACGCUCAGGCACGAAAGCGUGGGGAGCAAAA
rnacentral:rRNA from 1 species